rnacentral:rRNA from 1 species
UACGGGGGGGGCAAGCGUUGUUCGGAAUUACUGGGCGUAAAGGGCUCGUAGGCGGCCAACUAAGUCAUACGUGAAAUCCCUCGGCUUAACCGGGGAACUGCGUCUGAUACUGGAUGGCUUGAGAUUGGGAGAGGGAUGCGGAAUUCCAGGUGUAGCGGUGAAAUGCGUAGAUAUCUGGAGGAACACCGGUGGCGAAGGCGGCUCUCUGGGACGGUACUGACGCUGAGACGCGAAAGCGUGGGGAGCGAACAGG